UAGACAGAGGGCGGUGGUAUGCAACAAUGACAGAUGCGCAGUUCGAGUUCAAAGUGAAAUUACAACAAUUUACAUAUAAUACAUGUCUUUGCUUAUUUAUUUUCCUAUAAAUAGCAAGUGCAUCAUUUUAUAAAAUUGCCACAGCGUCGUAAAAAAACUGUGUUAUACAAGUAAAAUAUGGAGUAGGUUGAAAGCUGCUAAAAAUGAUAAAGGAAACUCGAAAUCUCUUAACGAAAGGAAAAGAUGUGUUAGUCAAAAUAUAUUAAAGACCGUGUACAAUAAUCUGUCCAAUGUGUAAUUACUUGAGAGUGGAAUAGUAUUACUUCAUUCGCGAGAGUAGGCAAAGACUAGCUUUGUAGUCGAAAACAUUCUUCCUGAGAUCGCAAUCCGAAAGAACUCCUUAAAGCAUGCUGUAAAUUAAUGAUGAACUACAACCAACUAAAUAUAAUCUUCUCCACACUAAACAACAAAAAAUCCUCCGGCUUCGAUGGCAUCACAUCUUAAAACUAACGAGAAACCACUUCGCGCAAGCUGAAGUUAAAAGAAAAUAGUUUAAUCUUCGGUUGCUUGUUUCCAAACGACUCAUAUUACAAAAAUAUACUGAUAACAGGUUAGAUCCCCCCCCGAAGCUUUUCUAUACCUAGACGACCAAGACCAAAAUAAUAUCCCAAUAAUAUACCAUAUAAAAAGAAAAAUAGGGAUCAAAUCAAUACUCUACUUAAAGGAAAACUUAGAUGAACGGAUUGCAGACUAGAUGGACAACUAAAUUAGGAAGAAAAAUCAGCAGUGCCUCAGCAGCGACAUCUACACCCCAUAACAACAAUUACUUCGGACGAGAACCAGUGACAAUCAUCACGGACCAUACCAUCUCACUAUUAAGUGGAGUUCAAUACGUUUACCUUGGCAAAAAUCCUGGAAUUCUUUGCCCGUAAAACAUCUUCCUUGAUCCGCUAUUAUCCGGCAGGGACUGCCGAAUAAAAAUAUAGCGGACUUAAGGGUACUAAAGGCUUUAACGAUCGAUCCCACUGCUCGGGCUGUCCGUCAUGUCCACGUGAACCGUAUGCCACGUUAUGCUGGUCUUACGUAUAGGAUGUAGUUCGGCUUGUAUUUUACCUGAACUCGCUUUAGAAACUUGACAAGCAUGACAGUUCUUUACGAAUUUACUUCCAUUCCUUCGAACCAGUAGUACUCGUACAGUUUCUCAGGCGUUUUAUUCCAACCUAAGUACAUAAUUGACUGGUGCACAUGAUUAAUAACGGACCAUCUAAAACCUCUUGGAACAAUAGGCAAACAGAGAAUCUUGCCUUUUCUUUGUAUUCUACGGCAAAGAGUACUGGACUGUAAUUCGUACGUAUUUGCGAUGUUUUCCGAGAGCUCAUCGUUUUGCAACUUUUUGACGAUUUCCGAAAUUUGAGGAUCACGACGUUGUUCCGCUAAUAGCAAACCUUCUGAGAUUUCGGCCAGAUUCGGCCAAAGCUAUUCGUUUGCCUUCCCGAUACAUAAUGUCAAAGGUAAAAGAUUGUAGGUAAGGUCACUACCUGUAAACCCUGUCAUUUAAAUAUACUUUACUACUGGAUGCCUUCAAAGAAUUGCAAUCAGUAACGACAAGGAAUUCUCGUCCAGGCAAACAGUGACGAAAAUGCUUAACAGUGUUUACAACUGCCAACGUCUCUAAUUCAUACGAAUGGUACCUGGAUUCUGCAGGACUAGUUCAUUUAUUAUAGUACUACUACUACUCUGUUUUUACCUUCUACUUUCUGCAUUAAAAUAGCACCAUAUCCCUCUGAACUAGCGUCAGUAUGUAGUUCUAUCAAAUAAUUGGGGUCGAAUAUCAUUAACACCGGCGCAUCAGCCAGGACGGAGAUUACCUUUUGUAGGGCAUUACCUAGGAGAUUACCUUUGAGCGCAUACAGGGGUCUCAUUAUCUGUGAAAAUUUAGGAACGAAUCUUCUGAAAUAGGAAGCUAAACCUAUGAACUGCCUAAGCUGUGUGACGGUCGUUGGUGCAGGUAAAGAACUCAAGGCUUGUAUUUUACCCGGGUUGGAACGAACUUCUCCGUUAUGAAUUACAUAUCCCAAAUUGAGUACCGAUGUUUUUAGAAAAGAGCAUUUGGAAAAAUUAAAAGAAAAUCCGGCAUUUACAAGGGCAUUUAAUACGAUGUUCAAUCUUCCUAAAGUUUGAUCUAUCGAGUCGGCAAUACUUAGGACGUCAUCCAAAUAAACAACAACGUAUGAAUAAGCGAGGUCACCUAAGGCAUUGAGAAUGGCCCUCUGAAAAACGGACGGUGCAUUUUUCAGUCCAAACGGCAUCGUUAUGUACCCAAAUUGUCCGUCGGGGGUAACGAACGCUGUAUACUCCGUCGAAUUAGGAUGAAUGGGAAUUUGAUGAAACCCGCUGACUGUGUCUAGGCUAAUAAAGUAUCUCGCCUUUUGCAAUUUAAUCUGCAAUAAUGGGUAAAUCUGCGACCGUAUUUUGAUUUAGCUCUCGGGAAUCUGCACAUAAUCUAUCUGAGUCGUUUGUCUUCUUCACCCGUAACGAAUGAAUCUUUGAAUUUGUCGAGAAGAGAAAUUGAUCGACUUUUAUCAUUACCAUGUGCAUCAGUGUCAACUUUAUUAACAUCGAUCUCGUUUUCAGCGGUUUUACUACAGACAUUAAUUAUUUUUGUUUUACACAUAGCGAGGCUAUUUUGUGUAAUGUUACGUCAAAACCCUGGCUUAAAAUUUCACGACUAAUCGCGAUGUCACAUCUUAAGUCACUAUCAGCAAGGACAUGGAAAAUUAUCUUCAAUGUAAAAAUCAUUAAUACACACAAUGGACAAAA